GUUGCUUCCGCCUCCCGGGGCGCAGGCGCUGGGCGCGGCGGGGAAGGGACUCGGCACUGGGGAAACCCGGAGUUUCAGCCAGGGUCCCAGGGCUUCCUUCCCGGGUUCCUGCCGGAAAACUUUUCUCCUCCGCCCGGAAGCCUCGAUGGGGCAGUGAGAUCGCGGGGCGAGCCUGUCCUGCUCUGGCCUGCCCUGUGCUCAGGAAGCUGGCGGUCCCCCUCAGUGGAUCUUCACCCACAGGGACAACCUGCUGCAGACCGGGUAGGAGGGAGGCAGGGGCCUCUUCCCCUCUCCUUCCUGGCCUGGCCCCACACCCACCAGUGUUGGUUUCACUCUGUGGCUACGAUUCUUCCUGGGUGCCCUUUCCAUUGCACAACUCCUCUAGGCUCUACGAACAGAACUUCUCCCCGCCCCCAAGCCUCUUAGGGUGAGACAUGUUGUCGGUCUGCCAUUGUUGCUGGUCCCUAAAUAGCAGCACCCUUUGAAGGAUCCUUGAACCAUGACCACACCGCAACAAAGAGUCCUUCAUCAAACUCGCUUCCAAAUCCCCUCCCAAGAACACCUUCAGUUUCCUGCAAGAACCCUGACUGCUGAAGCCGGAUUUUGACUAAGCUUCUACCUUGUAAACCGUGACUGUGGGAUUGGGGUCGAGGCGCAAUCAGAGGUUGUAUAAGGCACUAGAUCAAGGCUGCCUGUCUGUCAGGAGUGUCUGCUUUAUUCAGUAGUAAAUGUGAAUUGUUUUUCAUUCUGUUGUGAAUACUGUUGGUUGACAAUGCAGCAGCCAUGCCCUCUCUAUCCUUGCUGGUUCAGGUAUCCACUCUGUGUGGCUAAGGGUAAACUCUGUCUCUUGAGAAAAUCUUGGUAACUCCAUUUCUCUUUCCAACAAUUGGCUUCAAACAAGCUCAAGUCAAUGAGUCCCAACAGGAAGCCUGCUGGGGGUUGUCUGGCAAAGGUUUUCUCACUCCUACAGGAACAUAAAGAGGAAAUGCUCCUUUUUCCCUGGUGAAUGUUGCAUUCCCUGUCUGGAUGCAAUGCCUGGUGCUCCGCAGCCCUUUGCACUUAUAAGAGAAGGUGGCCGGAAGAGCAUCUUCACCCUGGGGUGGCCGCCUGGGAAGAUGAGAAGAGCAGGAGUCCUUGGUGGCACAACCAGGCAAUUCACCAAAAUCCUGCUGCCCUCACCUGGAAUUUCCUGCUAUGAGAGACGUCUCCGUUUAAACCACAUGAGCUGGAUUUUCUGUUUCUAACACAUGUCAGCAUCUUCACGGUAAAUCUAAGAAAAAAAAAUCAGGGCUAUUAAAAAACAAAGUCCAACUCACCCUGUGCUAUGGUCUGAAGGUGUCCUCCCAAAUUCACACGUGGAAACCUAAUCCCAAAUACCUGAUACCUAAUCCCAAAUAUUAAGAGGUGGGGGCCUUGGGAGGUGGUUAGGAAUGGGAUUAGUGCCCUUUAAAACUGAGGUUUUUGGGAGCCUGCUUGCCCUUUCUGCCAUAUGAAGAUGCUUAGAAGAGGCCUUCUAUGAAGCAGAGAACUUUUCUCAGAUGCCAGAUCUGCUGGGACCUUGAUCUUGGAUUUCUCAGCCUUCAGAACUGUGGGAAGCAAACUUCUGUGUGUAUGAAUAGCCAUCUAAAGGAUUUUGUUACAGCAGCCUGAGCAGACUAAGACACCCUGUGAGUCAGUUAUUUUUGGCUGUGUCACGAGUGACCGCGAGUGCAGGAGCUGAAACGGCAGUGAGUGGGUUACCAUUUCUCAGGACCCUGCGGAAUUGGUGCGAUGGUGCUUCUGCUCCACCUGUUGUUGGCUGGGAUUGUCCUGCAGCUGCAUUCUUCUGGGGGUCAGCUGGGGCUGGAAGCUUCCUGUGGUCUAGUCACACAGCUGGGGUCUCAGCUAGGGUGAUAGAACACUGGGGGCAGGCCGGCCUUGCUGUCUCUCUCUGGCUUCUCAUCAUUCAGUGGUCUAGCCUGAGUUUUUUACAUGGCAGCUCAGGAGGGUCAAUGUGGACGCUAUACAGCCUGUAAGGCCCGGGUUUGGAAGUCCAAGAAUAUGACUUCUACCAUGUUCUACUGGUGAAUAUAAAUUCCAAGGCCAGCCUAGAUUCAAGGGAUAAGAACGUAGAUUUCACUCCUUGAUGGGAGGAUCCCAUGUACAGACAGGGAUCCUUAUGAGGGAUUAUGAGAACUCCUAAUCCUUAUGAGGGAUUAUCAUACAGAGAAUUUAUGGGGGAUUAUCUUUGGAAAUAAUCUACCAUAGACUGAAUAAAUGAUAAUGUAAUGUG